rnacentral:rRNA from 1 species
GAUGAACGCUGGCGGCGUGCCUAAUACAUGCAAGUCGAGCGAACAGACGAGGAGCUUGCUCCUCUGACGUUAGCGGCGGACGGGUGAGUAACACGUGGAUAACCUACCUAUAAGACUGGGAUAACUUCGGGAAACCGGAGCUAAUACCGGAUAAUAUAUUGAACCGCAUGGUUCAAUAGUGAAAGACGGUUUUGCUGUCACUUAUAGAUGGAUCCGCGCCGCAUUAGCUAGUUGGUAAGGUAACGGCUUACCAAGGCAACGAUGCGUAGCCGACCUGAGGGGGGGGAUAGCCAACCAGGAAAAAGAGACAGGGCCAGACCCCAAAGGGAGGGCAGAAGAAGGAAAUCUUCAGAAAGGGGAGAAAGUGGGAAGAAGAACGGCGGGGGGAGGAAGAAAGGUCUACGAAUAAAAAACUUGUUUUAUUAGGAAAAAAAAAAUGUAAAAGAAACAAUGCACGUCUGAAGGUAACAUAAUAAAAAAACAACGGAAAACUACGUC